UCUCUGGUAGUAUAUCGGUUAGUACACGCGCCUGUCAUAUAGGCUUUGGAACUCUUCGUGCGAAAGCUGGGUUCGACUCCCAGCCGGAGAG